CCGUCGGCAAACCCUGCGCACGGGCGCACCGACGUCACUGCUCUCGGUUUAUCUGUCUUUGGCUUGGCAUGGACUCUUGGCUUGGCUGCUUGGCUUCUUUCGUUUCCUCCUCUGUGCACCGUACAUAAGCGAACAGCUGUUAUGUUGUUGCUAAGCCGGAAACAAAGCAUGUGAAUGUUUUUUUUUUUUUUUUUGGCACAGCGUCGUUUGGAAAGUGCACUUCCGUGUUGUGACCUUGCCUUUUAUGGGCUGGAGCGAUAUGAUUCGUGAAUAUGCCACGGCGAAGUUGUCGAAGAUACGACGGUGCUACGCUGUUAGAACAAUUCAUCGGAGAAUUCAAGUGUUACCUAUUAUAAGCUGCCAAAAGACCAAGCAGUGCGACGCUCUUGGCUGACAGUGGUGCCUGCUGAUUUCCACUGCAAGGAUUUCGUCCACGAAUGUUAUCAUAGGUUACGCGCGACUCCAGAGGCAAUUUGGAAUCUUGGCACGAAAUCGUCUGAUGAAAAUCUGAGGUGCCCGACGCAUAACAUUUUGAACGUGCCACGGAGGAUCAAGGCAAAAAACGAGAGCAAAAAAAGGUGCACGCUGAAGGCGGAAAUGAAGCAUGAUCUGGCUUGCAUCUGGUCAUGAAGAAAUUGCUGACACGUUAGUUGCAGUCCACCUCCACCAACAGGGUGGAAAACAAAGGUCGCCAUUCCGAUUAGCUGCUAUCUCCCAGUUCAAGCACUUUUGUGUCUGGACACUGGUUCCUGAGGAUGGGGUGUUACAAGCUUCACUGUCUGAUAUAUAAGUGAUGAGCAUCCAUAAGGACACAUGCAAGAAAGGGAGUCUCUUUGGGACGACAAACCCUCAUCACCUCAUGAGGAUACAAUGGUUGACAAAUGGUUCCAAAGCACAUCGAAACUUCCAACAAAUAAUACAUGAAAAAGCUAGUCAGUGCUAGCACCAGGAAUUGAACGCGGACCGUCUUGCUACCAGUCAGAGAUGUUCAGUGGCGUAGCCACGGGGGGGCUAGGGGGGGGGGGGGGCUCGAGCCCCUCUACCUGCCACGGACCGACCCACACAAAUCGUGCAAAUCCGAGAACAUAAUAUAUGGGAGGGGGGGGGACCAGUGUGACUAUCGCGAAAGUUCUUGCAGUUCAUGGCGUCUCUCUAAGAAGCACUCUUGCAUGGUUUUCAAAGUAUGAGCUUUUCAAAAUACUUCCAAUCUCGUGACACCACUUCAUUGGUCAUGACAGCCUACACAUGUAAUCGUACUGUGAACGUCUAAAUCAACUAUUUUCGUUCCCUUUUUUAAUCCUCAGUUUGCAGUGUGCACAAGUAUGUGUGUGUUGUCGACACAGGAUCAGCGGGGGGGGGGGGGGGGCGAGUUUUCGUAUCGAGCCCCCCCCUACCUUUGAGGCCUGGCUACGCCACUGGAGAUGUUACAUUUCAGGCGCUCAUUGACUUUUGGUGAAUUACUUGUUGACUUUGUCCCAAGGAACAAACUUGAGACUUGAGACAAAUUGAUUCUCCCACCUGUUGCCACUGUGGUGCUCUUGAGGAUCUGGAGCACAUUCUUCUUCAUUGCCCUCACUACGAACCUUCCCGAAUCACACUCUCCGAGUCUCUUCGUCAGCUGGACUCUGGCCCUUUCUCCCUACCGAAAUUGCUUGGUCCCUGGCCCAAUCCAGCCCAGCAACGCUCUGCGCUCAAAGCUCUUCUGACAUUUCUGGACACCAUCGGACUUCGAUCGUUAUUGUAAAGGGGCUCGUUAUUUUAUUCCCCCCAUUCCACCAAGCACUGGGGUAGAGUAUCGCCUGUUGCGAUGAAACUCCCCACUCUCCAAGACCGAAAAUAAAGUUGUUGUUGUUUUGUCCCAAGGUGGAGCUCGCUACAGCUCAUUUGCUAUCUGUUAAUGUUGUGGCGUGUGUUGCGUUUUUCUCUUUGUGUGUUCCAGACUCAGAACGGUUAAUUUGGAUCAGGUCAGGUACGUUUCAUUUAGACAUGGCAAACAUAAAGUGGUGUUUCUCAACACAACUUAGCAGUGGCCUUCAUGCAUUACUGCUACGGCCAUUAAGCGUGAAUAGAAACCUGCGCAUUAUCCAUGAUGUAAAACCCCAAGACUAGGGAACACGAAGGGACAGACACAAACAUGUCCCUUUGUGUUCCCUAGUCUCGGGGUUUUACAUAUGCAUCAUCUUCACCAGCUCGCUUGCUUGCAGCCAAUUUUUCUGCACAUUAUGUUCACUCUACUUUUAUCGUGUGCUAUAUAAUCUUGUUCAAGUUCUGUCAAACAACCUGUAAUGCUAUAAAAAAAUUCAGUACACUGUUUGUGUGGGUUGAAUGGUAGCGCAUGAAUGCAGGAAGGAAACUGUCAUGUUAUGGCAAGUGUUUACGUAUUGUACAUUUAACUACUAAUUUUAUUGGUUAGCUUUCACUGGCGUAUCAUGUCAAGCCAUGUUGUAUUAAUUUGGAACAUGUUCUUCUUAGUAGCCAGAGCAGCUGAUACACAGAGAGAACAUAGCCCGUGUGUGUUUGUCUUUUCCACCGCAGCCCUUGGGUUUCCUCCCUGAUGGCUACACAUGUCAGGGAUAGGUUUCAGAACCGGUAGUUCCCGCCGAGUGUGAAUUGCUUUCCAGGGGAUCAUCACACUGGCAGAUGAAACAUAUGGUUUAAAUUAUUUGCAGGACAGGAAUUGCGCAGCUUCACACAAAUACUACUACUACUACGACGUAAGAGUGGGUUCCAAUCUAGCUUUUUUUGUGUUCCUGACAUUAUCGCACAAGAUGUAGUAUCCACUAUGAUCCUUUAUGUGGGGGGUACGUACAGUGCAAUCAACAGAUGCUAUUUACAAAUCUGUGUUUUCUACUGUGUUGAAAUGGGGUAGUUUGUAUCUGAGAGCCAUAGUGAAACACAGGCCCUCGAGAAACAUGGCAACACAUUGCAGGGACUCUGAAUGCUGCCUAAAUUUCCAGAACACACAGCUCAAGGCAGCAGUUAAAUAACAAGUGGUUAGAGAAAUCCAAGAUAGUUGCAUCCGUAAGCAGUCCGCUGUUGGAUUUGCUUCUGUCAGAGAUACGUUAUCUCAAAGGGAACGCACGGACACAGUCAGAAUGAUACUAGGGCUGCCUGUGAAAUAGAAUGAGGAGAGGGGAAGAUAUAUAACCCUUUUUCUUGUCUGUUAUUCUAGUGGUUAAAUUGUCAUUUUCUUAGCAGCAUAUGUGUGUAUAUUCCAGAGUCUGCUAAUAAAUAUAUCAGUUUAGAGCUAGCAGUCGCAUUAUAGAUGUCUCAUCCCGUCCUUGGUUGCUUGUGAUUCACUAUGGCCAUGCUUGCUAUUGAAAAAACAGAAAACAAAAAAAAGACAAUAGAAAAACACGGAAAGAGCGACCUAAAAAGCUGCCUGUUCCAGUGCUCACAUGGAGGCAAUGCAAUGAGGUAACAUGUUCCAUUCAUGAACUGUGCAUAGUAGUACAUAUCACAACGGCAACCGAUUAUUCAGAUUUUUCUUGAAGUACUUUUCUUUUUUUUUUUUAGCUUUGUUUGCACAGUCUAUUAUUGGAGCUUUAUGUGAUUCCCCUCUUCAGAUACUUUAAGAUUGCUGAUGCUGUGCAGUUUGUUAAUUUUGAAACUGUACUGUGCUGAGGUACAAAAACAGAAUUGUCAUAUCUGCAUUUGAGCACAUAGGAAUAAUUUGUAAGUACUUUACGUGUUGACAUAAUUAUUUGCACCAGGUAACAACAUUGUUGAUUUAUGGAAAAUGUAAAUAAAUAUAUUUAUUUGCUUGCC